rnacentral:tRNA from 1 species
GUUCCUGUAGUUGAAUUACGACAGUGGUUUUUCGAAUCACUAAUCUUGGUUAAAGUCCUGGCAGGAACU